rnacentral:rRNA from 1 species
AUGAACGCUAGCGGCAGGCUUAACACAUGCAAGUCGAGGGGCAGCACGGGUAGCAAUACCUGGUGGCGACCGGCGCAAGGGUGCGUAACGCGUGAGCAACAUGCCCUAUACAGGGGGAUAAUCCAGGGAAACUUGGUCUAAUAUCCCAUAGCAUUUAGAGGAGGCAUCUUCACUAAAUUAAAGCUUCGGUGGUAUAGGAUUGGCUCGCGUGACAUUAGCUAGAUGGUGAGGUAACGGCCCACCAUGGCUAUGAUGUCUAGGGGUUCUGAGAGGAAGACCCCCCACACUGGGACUGAGACACGGCCCAGACUCCUACGGGAGGCAGCAGUGAGGAAUAUUGGACAAUGGAUGGAAAUCUGAUCCAGCCAUGCCGCGUGCAGGAAGACGGCCCUAUGGGUUGUAAACUUCUUUUAGAUGGGAAGAAAAUGCUAGAUGUAUCUGGUACUGACGGUACCAUCAGAAUAAGCACCGGCUAACUCCGUG